rnacentral:rRNA from 1 species
CGUGUAGGCGGUUGAAAAAGUCAGGUGUGAAAUUCUUCGGCUCAACCGAGGGACUGCGCCUGAAACUUUUCGACUGGAGUUUGGGAGGGGCAACUGGAAUUCCUGGUGUAACGGUGAAAUGUGUAGAUAUCAGGAGGAACACCCGUGGCGAAGGCGGGUUGCUGGACCAAAACUGACGCUGAGACGCGAAAGCGUGGGUAGCAAACA